UCAAGUGCAGAGAUGCAUCAUGGGAACAGUGAUGUAGCUUGGGCUUACCCUGUAGGAAGAAGUCAGGAGAUUAUUGCCGUAACAAACACCCCCAAAUCUCAGUGCUGUAAAACCAUGAAGGUUUAUUUCUCACUUGGCCACUUGUCCUUUAUGAGUCAACUGAGGCUUUGUUCUUCAUUGUCCUCAGCUGGUAGAACCUCUAUUAUCUAGUAUGUUGCUUAUUGCCAUGGCAGCAAAAAAGGAUCUGCUUGGUGAAUCACCUGCAGGCUCUUAAAGUGGAAGUCAUGCACUUCACUUCUGUUCACAUUUCAUUGGCCACAAGAAGUCACUAAAAAUAAUAUGGUUAGGCUGCUAUAACAAAACAUCACAGUUCUGGAGGCACCAAGCUGAAGGCACCAGCACAUUUGGUGUCCAGUGAAGACCCAUGUUUGGAGGUGGAACUGCGGGAGCUGCAUCAACUACUCCCUUGACCUCUGGCCUUGGAUUGGCUGGUCCCAUGUGGAGCAUGAGCAGGAGAUCAGAGGGAGGACUGUGUCAAAUUUGCAGUUCUGGAGUCCAGUAGCCAAAGAUCAAGAUGUUGGAGAUGCUGGUUCUUUCUGAGGACUGUGGAGUAUCUGUCUUGCCUCUCACCUAGCUCUGGUUCCUCUCCACACUCUGUCUCAGUCUUCAAGUUCACAGGGCAUCGUCCCUGUGUGCCUUUCUAUCUCCAAAUACCCCUUUUAUAAGGACAUUAGUCAGGUUUAGGAGUCUGCCUGACUCUUGUGAGACCUCAUUGUAACAAAUAAUAUCUGUAACGACCCUAUUUCCAAAUGCAGUCAUAUUCUCAGGUAUUGGGGAUUAGGACUUCACUAUACGAAUUUUGAAGGACACAAUUUAACCCAUAACAGCAGUUAAAUAUAUUCAAGUAUUCCCCAUUAUACAAAAAACAUCUUUUAACUUCUGUCUUUUGGCUACCCCUCUCCUCUCCACUCUCUGUGAAUGGUUUGUGCUCAUCAUCUUUGUGUUUCUCCUCUCCCCCCCUCUCACUUUUACCUUACCAUUGCCACCGCAGCGGCAGCAACUAUCUUUGGCCAAGGUCAAAUAUUUUUUAAAAUUCUUUUCUUUUUUUUUUUUUAAAGAUUUAUUUAUUUUUUAUAAGAACCGGGGUACAGGCUAGAUGUACAGGAGGGUGAGAGGAUUCACCGGAGACAGAGCAGGAAACAGAACAGGCAGACUGACGAAACACACUGCUGAGGGGAGCAGCGGGUGAGACAGGAGAGGUCUGCUUCGCAUGUGGGAUUCUCACUGGCUGGCCUGGAUCGAACCCAUGCUGCAGAGGCCGCACACAGCUUCACAGCACAGCGCUCAACCGCCUGCGCCACCGGGGAAGACUCAAGGUCAACCAACAUGACAAACCAAAUUGAUUUUUGAACAACAGAAUUAGAAUUUAAGGACACUUAAAGAGUCCGGUGUUGAAUGGCAACUGGCUAGAAAAGCUUCAGCAGCCAGGGAAUGAACUGGCACUGCAGAGGCUGCGGGCAGCCUCGUAGCCCAGCGCUCAACCGCUGCGCCACCAGGGGAGGCCCGAUGGGUACAAGAAUGGUCUCAUUAGGCAAAUACCAAAUGUUUUCAUCAUAGGAGAGGACACAUUUCCAACCCCAACAAUAUAGAAUGCUAUCAGCCAGGGAUGUACUUUGUUUAAUCUAACAAUGGGUUAAUGUUGGUCAUUUCAUUACUGCUUGUUAGGCAGUGAAAGCUUACUCAGAAAUGAAAUGUUCAGAAAUUAGUUGAAAGGAGCAAAAAAGGUGAGAGAUUUUACGAAGUUGUAUGCUUGAUUGGGCUAAUUAAAGGUACAGAUGCAUUAGUAGGUUAUGGGAACAGCUUUGAUUUCUAAAGAUGCUUGUCAGGAGGAGGAUGGCGUGUUCUAAUCAUCUCUGGCACUGUGAGUCCCCCCCACGGGAAGGAGCACAGCUUUUCUCUCCUGACAGACUCCCUCGGCCUCCCCCUCCAGCACCUAUUGCCACCUGGCACCUGGUGGUUGAAUUAAAUGCAUCACUUGGGAAAGUUUCUUGAUUAAAUAGGAUAUUCUUGAACAAAGCACUGUUGAUUUGUGAUUUUCAUGUUUUAUUGGCUUUUCAUGUUUUAAAUGUAAAGCUCAUUAACUACACACAGAGAAGGAAACAGGUAUGAAGGAUGGAAAAUAAAACUCCACUGAUGUGAUACAGAAAGGCACAGCCUGUGCCAUUCUGGUUUGGAUUAACUGGGCUUGGCACUGUUAUGGCUCCUGUCACCAGAUCAGUUUACUGGGCUGAAGAAAUUGAGGAAAUGGAAAAUGCUGGUGCCUCACAAAUACCCCAACCUCACCCCCCGGCCAAAAUGCCUUGCAAGGAAAUUCUAGGCUUAUGUUUUCUGAUUUACCACUAAGAUGGAGAGGCCUUGGAAAACCAUUUAUUUCAAUCUUCCACUCAUUCAACAAACAUUUGCUGAGAGCAGCUUUGUGCCAGGCUGGGAUACAGAAAUGAGUGGGACAGGGUUCCUGACCAAGGAAGCACAGAGAUACUGGGGAGACCUUAAAAAUAUAUAAUAUACAUGGUGGUAAGUGGGCUAGUAAGGGGUCAGUAAAAGCUUGGGCAUUUGGAAAAUACUUUAAGUUGAAUUUUUUUUUUUUAAAGUCUAAAACAAACACAUGGUACUUACCACGUUUCAGGCACUGUUCCAAGGACUUUAUGAAUACUAAUUUGUUAAUUCUCAUAACAAUUUUUGGAGCCUGAUACUAUUAUUCUCUUCAUCCUGUAGCUGAGGAAAUGAAGAAACAGAGAGGUUCAGUAACUUGUGUGAUGUCACAUAGCUCCUGGGUGCAGAAUCAGGAUUUGAACGGAUACUACCUGACUCCAGAGGCCAUGCCCUCUGCCAUUACACGCUGACUUCCUUUUAUAGGCUACGAGCAGCCUCACAACCCAGCGCUCAACCGCUGCGCCACCAGGGGAGGCCAGUGUCUGAGUUUCUUACUCAAGUUGUGGAAAAACGCAGUUAUGAUUCAAAAAGAAAGGCAGUCGUUCAAUGCAGGUGUCAGUUGGGACAGAAAGAAUAACCCAGAAUACUGGAACAAACUGAGUCCAAGGAUCAUUGCAAGAUCUGUUCAGUCAAAGAUGACAGCAAACAGAUGACAGAAGAAAGAGAGGCCAGACUUCUAAACGAAAUAUUUCAUUAUAAAUCUGCUCAAAAUGAAGGUCUUCCAGAAACUAUCGGCAUGAUUUCCACCUAACCAGUAAAUAUUUCCCUUGCAAAUGCACAAAUUACAUUGGUAAAUUUAGGGUUUACACUGAUUAAUAAAUAUCUGA